UACGUAGGGGGCAAGCGUUGUCCGGAUUUAUUGGGCGUAAAGAGCUCGUAGGCGGUCUGUCGCGUCGGUCGUGAAAACUUGGGGCUUAACCCUGAGCUUGCGGUCGAUACGGGCAUGACUGGAGUUCGGCAGGGGAGACUGGAAUUCCUGGUGUAGCGGUGAAAUGCGCAGAUAUCAGGAGGAACACCGGUGGCGAAGGCGGGUCUCUGGGCCGAUACUGACGGCUGAGGAGCGGAAAGCCAGGGGAGCAAACGGG
rnacentral:rRNA from 1 species